AUUGAACGCUGGCGGCAUGCCUUACACAUGCAAGUCGAACGGCAGCAUGGAGAGCUUGCUCUCUGAUGGCGAGUGGCGAACGGGUGAGUAAUGCAUCGGAACGUACCGUGUAAUGGGGGAUAACGUAGCGAAAGUUACGCUAAUACCGCAUACGACCUGCGGGUGAAAGCAGGGGAUCGCAAGACCUUGCGUUUUACGAGCGGCCGAUGUCAGAUUAGCUAGUUGGUGAGGUAAAGGCUCACCAAGGCGACGAUCUGUAGCGGGUCUGAGAGGAUGAUCCGCCACACUGGGACUGAGACACGGCCCAGACUCCUACGGGAGGCAGCAGUGGGGAAUUUUGGACAAUGGGGGCAACCCUGAUCCAGCCAUGCCGCGUGAGUGAAGAAGGCCUUCGGGUUGUAAAGCUCUUUCGGCCGGGAAGAAAUCGCACAGGCUAAUACUCUGUGUGGAUGACGGUACCGGCAUAAGAAGCACCGGCUAACUACGUGCCAGCAGCCGCAGUAA
rnacentral:rRNA from 1 species